GCUUGUCUCAAAGAUUAAGCCAUGCAUGUCUAAGUAUAAACAACUUUGUACUGUGAAACUGCGAAUGGCUCAUUAUAUCAGUUAUAGUCUACUCGAUAGUACCUUACUACUUGGAUAACCGUAGUAAUUCUAGAGCUAAUACAUGCGUAAAUACCCAACUGCUUGUCGGACGGGUAGCAUUUAUUAGAUUGAAACCAAUGCAGCUUCGGCUGGUAUUGUGUUGAGUCAUAAUAACUUUUGCGGAUCGCAUGGCCUUGAGCCGGCGACGAAUCAUUCAAAUUUCUGCCCUAUCAACUUUCGAUGGUACGGUAUUGGCCUACCAUGGUUACCACGGGUAACGGGGAAUUAGGGUUCGGUUCCGGAGAGGGGGCCUGAGAAAUGGCCACCACAUCCAAGGAAGGCAGCAGG
rnacentral:rRNA from 1 species